rnacentral:rRNA from 1 species
GACGAACGCUGGCGGCGUGCUUAACACAUGCAAGUCGAACGGAAAGGCCUUUCUUUUGUGGGGUGCUGGAGUGGCGAACGGAUGAACAAGCCGUGGGUAGCCUAACCUUGGCUUUGGGCUGACUUCAGGACACUGGGGCCAGUACCGGAUAGGAAGUCAUGCGGCAUGGUGGGGGCUGGAAAGUUUCGGCGGUUGGGGAUGGACACGCGGCUACUAAGCUGGUGGGUGGGGGAGUGGCUUACCAAAUCGUCGACGGGUAGCCGGCCUGGGCGGGUGACCGGCCACAUUGGGACUGAGAAGAGGCCCAGACGCCUACGGGAGGCAGCAGCGGGGAAUAAUGCACAAUGAGCGGAAGCCGGAUGCAGCAACGCCGCGUGCGGGAUGACGGCCGUCGGGUUGUAAUCCGCUGUCGCUUGUGACGAAGCGUGAGUGACGGUAACGGGGAAAGAAGCACCGGCUAACUACGUG